rnacentral:rRNA from 1 species
UGCAGUCGAACGAUGAUCUCCAGCUUGCUGGGGGGAUUAGUGGCGAACGGGUGAGUAACACGUGAGUAACCUGCCCUUAACUCUGGGAUAAGCCUGGGAAACUGGGUCUAAUACCGGAUAUGACUCCUCAUCGCAUGGUGGGGGGUGGAAAGCUUUUGUGGUUUUGGAUGGACUCGCGGCCUAUCAGCUUGUUGGUGAGGUAAUGGCUCACCAAGGCGACGACGGGUAGCCGGCCUGAGAGGGUGACCGGCCACACUGGGACUGAGACACGGCCCAGACUCCUACGGGAGGCAGCAGUGGGGAAUAUUGCACAAUGGGCGCAAGCCUGAUGCAGCGACGCCGCGUGAGGGAUGACGGCCUUCGGGUUGUAAACCUCUUUCAGUAGGGAAGAAGCGAAAGUGACGGUACCUGCAGAAGAAGCGCCGGCUAACUACGUGCCAGCAGCCGCGGUAAUACGUAGGGCGCAAGCGUUAUCCGGAAUUAUUGGGCGUAAAGAGCUCGUAGGCGGUUUGUCGCGUCUGCCGUGAAAGUCCGGGGCUCAACUCCGGAUCUGCGGUGGGUACGGGCAGACUAGAGUGAUGUAGGGGAGACUGGAAUUCCUGGUGUAGCGGUGAAAUGCGCAGAUAUCAGGAGGAACACCGAUGGCGAAGGCAGGUCUCUGGGCAUUAACUGACGCUGAGGAGCGAAAGCAUGGGGAGCGAACAGGAUUAGAUACCCUGGUAGUCCAUGCCGUAAACGUUGGGCACUAGGUGUGGGGGACAUUCCACGUUUUCCGCGCCGUAGCUAACGCAUUAAGUGCCCCGCCUGGGGAGUACGGCCGCAAGGCUAAAACUC